UCAUCACCAUCAUCAUCCUGAUUAGUCUUUCGGGAGGAGUGGUUUCGACUGGAAGGCAAAGAAGGCAGUGCUUCCAUCGGUCAUUACAAAAAAGAAUUUGAGACCCCUGGAAGAGAUUCCGGGGGUUUUUCGU
rfam:Enterovibrio pacificus strain CAIM 1920 contig002, whole genome shotgun sequence.